AUUGAACGCUGGCGGCAUGCCUUACACAUGCAAGUCGAACGGUAACAGGUCUUCGGAUGCUGACGAGUGGCGAACGGGUGAGUAAUACAUCGGAACGUGCCUAGUAGUGGGGGAUAACUACUCGAAAGAGUGGCUAAUACCGCAUGAGAUCUACGGAUGAAAGCAGGGGAUCGCAAGACCUUGUGCUACUAGAGCGGCCGAUGGCAGAUUAGGUAGUUGGUGGGAUAAAAGCUUACCAAGCCGACGAUCUGUAGCUGGUCUGAGAGGACGAUCAGCCACACUGGGGCUGAGACACGGCCCAGACUCCUACGGGAGGCAGCAGUGGGGAAUUUGGACAAUGGGCGCAAGCCUGAUCCAGCAAUGCCGCGUGCAGGAUGAAGGCCUUCGGGUUGUAAACUGCUUUUGUACGGAACGAAAAGCCCUGGGUUAAUACCCUGGGGUCAUGACGGUACCGUAAGAAUAAGCACCGGCUAACUACGUGCCAGCAGCCGCCGUAAAAC
rnacentral:rRNA from 1 species